CACGUAAGGGGCGAGCGUUGUUCGGAAUUAUUGGGCGUAAAGGGUACGCAGGCGGUUUUGCAAGUCUGAUGUGAAAGACCUGGGCUUAACUCAGGGACCGCGUUGGAAACUGCAAGACUAGAAUCUUGGAGGGGGAGUUGGAAUUCCUAGUGUAGGGGUGAAAUCUGUUGAUAUUAGGAAGAACACCGGUGGCGAAGGCGAACUCCUGGCUAUAGAUUGACGCUGAGGUACGAAAGCAUAGGGAGCAAACAGG
rnacentral:rRNA from 1 species